GACGAACGCUGGCGGCGCGCCUAACACAUGCAAGUCGAACGAGCGAGAGAGAGCUUGCUUUCUCAAGCGAGUGGCGAACGGGUGAGUAACGCGUGAGGAACCUGCCUCAAAGAGGGGGACAACAGUUGGAAACGACUGCUAAUACCGCAUAAGCCCACGGCUCGGCAUCGAGCAGAGGGAAAAGGAGCAAUCCGCUUUGAGAUGGCCUCGCGUCCGAUUAGCUAGUUGGUGAGGUAACGGCCCACCAAGG
rnacentral:rRNA from 1 species